AACAAGUGGGUCCCAAGCAGUUGGACAUGGGAUCGACCCGGGAUCACAAAGACAUUCCUUAUGUACAUGGCAGGCCCUUCUCAAUAAACUACCUAUAAUAGAUAAUAUGAAAAAAAGAGGUAUCUAUCAUGUUAACCGAUGCUCCCUUUGUAUGCAACAAGAAGAAACUGUUGACCACCUUUAUUUUGCUUGUGAUUAUACAAAAUGGAUAUGGAAGGAGAUUCUCCAACGAUUUGAACUCAAUAGACUGCCUAACCAAACUUGCACCAAGAACUAGGCGAACUCAUGCAAUGUUUCUCAAAAAAAGGGCCUCUCACACAACUGGCAAAGGUUACUUUCAGAUCGCUAUUUGGUGGAUGUGGAAGGCAGAGAUGUAACAAAAUCUUUAAAUGUCAACACACAAACAAUGCUCAGCCAUUGAAAGAGAUUAUUAGAGACUCAAGAUCUGUAUGGAGCAAGAUCUCAAAACAGACACUUUACCCAAAUAGAAAAAUAUAUUUUUAUCAAUUUUAAUUUUGCUAUUAGCUAAAGAUCUUGGGAAUGAUGCCAAAUUUUGAUAUACCUGGAUAAACAUUUUCUAUUUUGAUUAUAAUUAGGAGUUAUAGUCUACAACAUGUGUAGUCAUAACUAUCGCAUUAACACUCUAUGAGUUACAUGGCUUUGUCUAUGACUUGUAUAGAUAAAGCUAUUUGUUGAAACUUUACACAUAAUCAAUUUACUUUACUUACCAAAAAAAAAAAAAAAAAUUGGGGGCUCGAAGGCGAUCAGAUACCGUCCUAGUCUCAACCAUAAGCGAUGCCGACCGGGAUGCGUGGGAUGUUGCUCUUAGGACUCCGCCCGGCACCUUAUGAAAAUCAAAGUCUUUGGGUUCGGGGAAGUAUGGUGCAUAAGGCUAAAACUUAAAAGGAAUUGACGGAAGGGCACCACCAGGGAGGGAGCUGCGGCUUAAUUUGACUCAACACGAGGAAACUUACCAGGGUCCAGACAUAGCAAGGAUUGGCGGUGAGAGCUCUUUCUUGAUUCUAUGGGUGGUGGUGCAUGGCGUUCUUAGUUGGUGGAGCGAUUUGUGCAGUUAAUUCGAUAAACGAGCGAGACCUCAGCCUGCUAACUAGCUACUGGCGGAGGCAUCCCUCAUGACCAGCUUCUUAGAGGGACUAUGGCUGUUUAGGCCACGGAAGUUUGAGGCAAUAACAGGUCUGUGAUGCCCGUAGAUGUUCUGGGCGCCGCGCGCUACACUGAUGUAUUCAGCGAGUCUAUAGCCUUGGCCGACAGGCCGGGUAAUCUUUGAAAAUUUCAUCGUGAUGGGGAUAGAUCAUUGCAAUUGUUGGUCUUCAACGAGGAAUUCCUAGUAAGCCUUGAGUCAUCAGCUCGCGUUGACUACGUCCCUGCCCUUUGUACACACCGCCCGUCGCUCCUACCGAUUGAAUGGUCGGUGAAGUGUUGGAUCGAGACAGCGAGGCGGUUAGCCACCUCUUGACGUCGCGAAAGUCCACUGAACCUUAUCAUUUAGAGGAAGGAGAAGUAAACAACAAGGUUUCCGUGGGUGAACCUGCGGAAG
rnacentral:rRNA from 1 species